UACGUAGGGCGCAAGCGUUGUCCGGAAUUAUUGGGCGUAAAGAGCUCGUAGGCGGCUUGUCACGUCGGGUGUGAAAGCCCGGGGCUUAACCCCGGGUCUGCAUUCGAUACGGGCUGGCUAGAGUGUGGUAGGGGAGAUCGGAAUUCCUGGUGUAGCGGUGAAAUGCGCAGAGAUCAGGAGGAACACCCGUAGCGAAGGCGGCACACUGGGCCGGUACUGACGCUGAGGAGCGAAAGCGUGGGGAGCAAACAGG
rnacentral:rRNA from 1 species